GAGAAAAUGAGGGCAGCUGGGGAGGCAAGAUUUUUUCUCACAUGAGUUUCUUCGUCUUAAGUUGGAGAUGACACCUACCUUGUAGAUGCUGCGACUGGGAUUGGAGAUCCCAACACAAAAGCUCAGCUCUGGUAUAAAAAUGAGGAAUUGAAAGUGAGUACAGAUGAUAUUUCUAGAUUGUCAAGUUUUGCAAAAUGUGUAAAAGAAAACAAGCAGUAUCAAGACCUGAAGCUAGCGGUGAUCACGUGAUGUGGUUUGGCUGUGUCCCCACCCAGAUCUCAUCUUGAAUUGUAGCUCCCAUAAUCCCCACAUGCAACUGGAGGCACCCAGUGGAAGGUAAUUGAAUCAUGCGGGUGGGUUUUCCCGUGCUGUUCUCAUGACAGUGAAUAAGUCUCAUGAGAUCUGAUGGUUUUAUAAAGGGCAGUUCCCCUGCACACGCUCUCUUGCCUGCCGCUGUGUAACACGUGGCUUUGUUUCUCUUGCACCUUCUGCCAUGGUUGUGUGGCCUUCCCAGCCAUGUGGAACUGAAACCUACAGGUUGCAGAAGAAAAUGGCUGGUGGAAAUGCAGCAGGAAGAAUAACAUGGUUCUGAAACCAGGCUGUCCUGGUUGACGUUUCCUGCCCAUAAGGCCAUCGAAAGGUGGGCAUCUCCUCACGUGGCUGCUGCUAGUGACGGACCUAGUAUGGCCCUGGGAGUUAAAGCGGUGCUGUGGCCUCUGCAGUCCUCAGCACUCCUUCUGGCACUACAGGCAUGCUGUGUUUACAGCAGAGAUGGAGAGGUUUUCUGCCCUAUCUCCACCCUGCCCAGCCCCUAGCUCUGGGCUUUAGUUUGUUAUCUGGGUACCAGAGAGCAUAGCUUGAGCCCCUGCGUCUCACAGAGUCCCUUAUGACAACAGCCUCCUCAGACUCUGCAAACAACCUCUCUCUCCACAGGGCUCAGAUGAGAAUCCAGGGAAACCAACUUCUUAAAAAUAGAUGCCAGUAGGCUGCCUACCCUGCCAAGUCAUUGGACAUUUCCAGACAUGCCUGAUUCCCAGCAGAGAACACAAAUUAGGCUCUCGAAUCCCUGCUACAUUACUAAACGUGCAUAGCACGCCCUAAUGCUUUCCCCUGAAUCAACUCUGUUCGGUAGGUAGGACAGAUGAUAGUAUUAUAGUUUCCAUCUUUCAUACAGAGAAAUUAAUUCUUAGUGAGAAAAAGCUAGAAGCCUGAAGUGAGAUAAUAAUUAAGAUUCUGAUUGAUCACAUGAAUGGAGGGCUUUGAAUAGCAAAUCUGGCACUCUCCUGGGGUACUUCACGGUAACAGGUCACCAAGCUUGGCCCAGAUGCUCUAGACAGAGGCAUUUUCCUCUCUGUGCUCAUGGCAUGUUGGUUUGUUGCAGAGUUUGCUGUAUUUUGUGACACCACUUUAAACGUCAGUCUUCUCCACUAAACAUCUCUCAUGCCAGCAAAGUGCCUGGCAUGGAGAAGGGACCUGAUAAACAUUUAUCGGUGGUAUGAAUAUGAAUUUUUAAAAAAAAUCUCUUAAUGUUUCUCUAAUGAAGGUGGAAUCCUCCCACCCCAGAGAACAUUUGGAAGUGGAGGAGCAUUUUUCGUUGUCACAAUACCAAGGAGUGAUGCUCCAAGCCUUUUAUAACCGGGGCCAGGGAUACGGGAUAUCUUGCAAUCUGUCAGACAGUCCUGCACAAAGAAGUGCUCUGUCCAAAAUGCCAAUCGCUCCUCCUUUGAGAAUAACUACAAGGAAGUCCAAAUGUUAGGAAAGUCCCAAGCACUCCUAAGCCUUCGAGUCUAGCCUAGGAAUAACUUAGCUAUCUGUGACCUUGCUAUUUGAGUUUUGAGACAAAAUAGGGGUUAUGCUAUAUACCCACCUCAUGCUAUGGUUUAAUGAGAACAUAUGUAAGAGGCCUAACAGAGUGGUUGCAUGUGGCAGGAAGACAAGUGAUUUGAGCUCCUUUUCCCCUUACUUCAGGUAAUAGGAACAAUCAUUUGUCUAUGUAUCAGUUUGGCCUAUGGUUUAAUUCAACUGAAAGAUAUUUUGAAAGCAGGCCUAGUGUUCUACGAUCUGCCCUUGGAAAUAUAAAAAGUAGUAUGGUAGUAUAUUUCCCAAUUGUUAUGAGGAUUCGAGUUUCUAAAGAUCAGUGCCUGGCACUGAGUAGUCUCUUUAUAAAUAGUUGACUUGAUGAUAGGUGGCAGAAAUCGAAGAAAAGCAGUGCUCUUGCUUAAAUAUUAAGGUAGCAUAAAAUCAAAUCAUAUUCUCCCUCUUUAGCAAAAUUGAGUGAGAUUUCUUUAGUAAGUUCUGCUUAUCCACUAUUUCCUGCAAAUUAAACAGACUUCCCACAGAAGACAACAAUUCUUGACUUCACUCUGUUCCCACCAUUGCAGAGUAAUGCAUGCUUGGGGCAAAAACACAUAUGACUCACCUGUUUUAUAGUGUCUCUUCGUACCCUUUCAAUUCCCACUGGUGAACGAAUUUACUUUCUACCUGCUUCUUAUUAGAGAAAAUAUGUCAUAGAAACAUUACAAAAUGUUGAUAAGAAUAGAAAACCAUAAUCCUAACCCUAUUGCAACUGUUUAAAAAAUUGCCUUCCAAUGCUUUUCUAUAAGAAUGUCUUUUUGCUGGGCGCGGAGGCUCACGCCUAUAAUCCCAGCACUUUGGGAGGCCGAGGCGGGUGGAUCACGAGGUCAGGAGUUCAAGACCAGUCUGGCCAAGAUGGUGAAACCCCGUCUCUACUAAAAAUACAAAAAUUAGCCGGGCAUGGUGGUGGGCGCCUGUAAUCCCAGCUACUCGGGAGGCUGAGGCAGGAGAAUUGCUUGAACCCAGGAGACAGAGGUUGCAGUGAGCCGAGAUCGUGCCAUUGUACUCCAGCCUCUGUGACACAGCGAGACUCUGUCGCAAAAAAAAAAAAAAAGUCUAUUUAUGGAGUAGCUAUCAUAAUGCACAUACUAUUUUGAUUUCUACUAUAUCCAAUUUGUAUUAUAUAUUUUCCACGUUUCCACGUAAUUGUAAUGUUUAAUGACUGCAAAAUAUUCCAUUGCUUUAAUAUGCCAUCCCAUCUUGUUGGAUAUUGAGAUUGUUCUUACUAGGUAGGGCAGCAAUAAAUAUUUUUUUUACAAACAAUUUU
rnacentral:lncRNA from 1 species